rnacentral:rRNA from 1 species
GAUGAACGCUGGCGGCGUGCCUAAUACAUGCAAGUCGAACGAACAGACGCUGAUCUUGCUCCUCUCACGUUAGCCGCAGACGUGUGUAUAACACGUGUAUAACCUACCUAUCAGACUGGGAUAACUUCGGAAAACCGGCGCUAAUACCGUAUGAUAUCUUGCACCACAUUGUUCAAUAGUAAAAUACGGUUUUGCUGUCACUUCUAGAUGGAUCCGCGCCGCAUUAGCUGGUUGGUAAGGUAACGGCUUACCAAGGCAACGAUGCGUAGCCGAACUGUGAGGCGGAUAGGCGACAUGAGAGCUGGGACACGGACAAGAGUACUAAGGGAGGCAGCAGUAGGGAAUCGGAGGCAAUAGGGGAAAGCAUGGCGGAGUAAGGCCGAGUGAGUGAUAAAGGUCUUGGGAGCGUAAAACCGUCUUAUUAGGGAAGAACAGAUGUGUAAGGAACUAUGGACGGAGUGACGGUACCUAAUAAGAAAGCAACGGCUAACUACGUG